rnacentral:rRNA from 1 species
UACGGGGGGGGCAAGCGUUGUUCGGAAUUACUGGGCGUAAAGGGUUCGUAGGUGGCCAACUAAGUCAGACGUGAAAUCCCUCAGCUUAACUGGGGAACUGCGUCUGAUACUGGUGUGGCUUGAGUGCAGGAGAGGAACGCGGAAUUCCAGGUGUAGCGGUGAAAUGCGUAGAGAUGGGGGAGAACACUCGUGGCGAAGGCGGCCAGCUAGACCAGUUCUGACACUGAGGCGCGACAGCGUGGGGGAGCAAACAGG